UGCCUAAUACAUGCAAGUCGAGCGAACGGACGAGAAGCUUGCUUCUCUGAUGUUAGCGGCGGACGGGUGAGUAACACGUGGAUAACCUACCUAUAAGACUGGGAUAACUUCGGGAAACCGGAGCUAAUACCGGAUAAUAUUUUGAACCGCAUGGUUCAAAAGUGAAAGACGGUCUUGCUGUCACUUAUAGAUGGAUCCGCGCUGCAUUAGCUAGUUGGUAAGGUAACGGCUUACCAAGGCAACGAUGCAUAGCCGACCUGAGAGGGUGAUCGGCCACACUGAGAACUGAGACACGGUCCAGACUCCUACGGGAGGCAGCAGUAGGGAAUCUUCCGCAAUGGGCGAUAGCCGACCGGAGCACGUCCGCGUGAGUGAUGAAGGUCUUCGGAUCGUAAAACUCUGUUAUUAGGGAAGAACAUAUGUGUAAGUAACUGUGCACAUCUUGACGGUACCUAAUCAGAAAGCCACGGCUAACUACGUGCCAGCAGCUGCGGUAAUACGUAGGUGACAAGCGUUAUCCGGAAUUAUUGGGCGUAAAGCGCGCGUAGGCGGUUUUUUAAGUCUGAUGUGAAAGCCCACGGCUCAACCGUGGAGGGUCAUUGGAAACUGGAAAACUUGAGUGCAGAAGAGGAAAGUGGAAUUCCAUGUGUAGCGGUGAAAUGCGCAGAGAUAUGGAGGAACACCAGUGGCGAAGGCGAC
rnacentral:rRNA from 1 species